rnacentral:rRNA from 1 species
AUUGAACGCUGGCGGCAUGCCUUACACAUGCAAGUCGAACGGUAACAGGUCUUCGGAUGCUGACGAGUGGCGAACGGGUGAGUAAUACAUCGGAACGUGCCCAGACGUGGGGGAUAACGAGGCGAAAGCUUUGCUAAUACCGCAUACGAUCUAAGGAUGAAAGCAGGGGACCGCAAGGCCUUGUGCGUUUGGAGCGGCCGAUGGCAGAUUAGGUAGUUGGUGGGAUAAAAGCUUACCAAGCCGACGAUCUGUAGCUGGUCUGAGAGGACGACCAGCCACACUGGGACUGAGACACGGCCCAGACUCCUACGGGAGGCAGCAGUGGGGAAUUUUGGACAAUGGGCGAAAGCCUGAUCCAGCAAUGCCGCGUGCAGGAUGAAGGCCUUCGGGUUGUAAACUGCUUUUGUACGGAACGAAAAGGCUCUGGCUAAUACCUGGGGCACAGGACGGUACCGUAAGAAUAAACACCGGCUAACUACGU